CCUACGGGUGGCAGCAGUGGGGGAUAUUGGGCAAUGGGGGAAACCCUGAUCCAGCGACGCCGCGUGAGUGAAGAAGUAUUUCGGUAUGUAAAGCUCUGUCAGCAGGGAAGAAAGAAAUGACGGUACCUGACCAAGAAGCCCCGGCUAACUACGUGCCAGCAGCCGCGGUAAUACGUAGGGGGCAAGCGUUAUCCGGAUUUACUGGGUGUAAAGGGGGCGUAGACGGUGAUACAAGUCUGAUGUGAAAGGCGGGGGCCCAACCCCCGGAUUGCUUUGGAAACUGUGUAACUUGAGUGCAGGAGAGGUAAGCGGAAUUCCUAGUGUAGCGGUGAAAUGCGUAGAUAUUAGGAGGAACACCAGUGGCGAAGGCGGCUUGCUGGACAGUAACUGACGUUGAGGCGCGAAAGCGUGGGGAGCAAACAGGAUUAGAUACCCUUGUAGUC
rnacentral:rRNA from 1 species